UUGAAUGAUGGCGUGGUCAUUUGGUUCUGGCUUUGAAUCCCUCUGAAAUUUGUCUCUGUUCACUUCAAGUUAGUUGAAUGAUGUCCUGCAUGAGUUCAGGUGGUUGGGCCAUCAGCAAGCUGUAGAUCUGACAACAGCUGCAAAUAAAGAACCCCUUGCAGCAAAGGAAGUUGUGCUUCAUUAAUUGAAAAGUGCCAGCUCCAUAUUCUUCAGAAGAUGCUGAGGUUUGAUGAAAGCAGCAAUAAGGGGUUCAGAUCUUGUUGUUUUCUUGAGAAAUGAACUUGUGUAUGCAAAAUGUUUCCCUGCAUAGCUAUUUUCUUCCAAGUGGAUGCUAGAAAAUUUGCUUUCGGAGAUUCUGUACAUCUAUUUGUAUUAUCAAGUUUAAAUGUGUAAAUGAUUCUUGUUAUAAUUGCUAAUAUAUUGUAAUAAGAGCUACUACAUGGAA